rnacentral:rRNA from 1 species
UUAAGCGACUAAGCGUACACGGUGGAUGCCCUGGCAGUCAGAGGCGAUGAAGGACGUGCUAAUCUGCGAUAAGCGUCGGUAAGGUGAUAUGAACCGUUAUAACCGGCGAUUUCCGAAUGGGGAAACCCAGUGUGAUUCGUCACACUAUCAUUAACUGAAUCCAUAGGUUAAUGAGGCGAACCGGGGAACUGAAACAUCUAAGUACCCCGAGGAAAGAAAUCAACCGAGAUUCCCCCAGUAGCGGCGAGCGAACGGGAGGAGCCCAGAGCCUGAAUCAGUGUGUGUGUUAGUGGAAGCGUCUGGAAAGGCGCGCGAUACAGGGUGACAGCCCCGUACACAAAAAUGCACAUGCUGUGAGCUCGAUGAGUAGGGCGGGACACGUGGUAUCCUGUCUGAAUAUGGGGGGACCAUCCUCCAAGGCUAAAUACUCCUGACUGACCGAUAGUGAACCAGUACCGUGAGGGAAAGGCGAAAAGAACCCCGGCGAGGGGAGUGAAAAAGAACCUGAAACCGUGUACGUACAAGCAGUGGGAGCACGCUUAGGCGUGUGACUGCGUACCUUUUGUAUAAUGGGUCAGCGACUUAUAUUCUGUAGCAAGGUUAACCGAAUAGGGGAGCCGAAGGGAAACCGAGUCUUAACUGGGCGUUAAGUUGCAGGGUAUAGACCCGAAACCCGGUGAUCUAGCCAUGGGCAGGUUGAAGGUUGGGUAACACUAACUGGAGGACCGAACCGACUAAUGUUGAAAAAUUAGCGGAUGACUUGUGGCUGGGGGUGAAAGGCCAAUCAAACCGGGAGAUAGCUGGUUCUCCCCGAAAGCUAUUUAGGUAGCGCCUCGUGAAUUCAUCUCCGGGGGUAGAGCACUGUUUCGGCAAGGGGGUCAUCCCGACUUACCAACCCGAUGCAAACUGCGAAUACCGGAGAAUGUUAUCACGGGAGACACACGGCGGGUGCUAACGUCCGCCGUGAAGAGGGAAACAACCCAGACCGCCAGCUAAGGUCCCAAAGUCACGGUUAAGUGGGAAACGAUGUGGGAAGGCCCAGACAGCCAGGAUGUUGGCUUAGAAGCAGCCAUCAUUUAAAGAAAGCGUAAUAGCUCACUGGUCGAGUCGGCCUGCGCGGAAGAUGUAACGGGGCUAAACCAUGCACCGAAGCUGCGGCAGCGACGCUGAUGCGUUGUUGGGUAGGGGAGCGUUCUGUAAGCCUGUGAAGGUGUGCUGUGAGGCAUGCUGGAGGUAUCAGAAGUGCGAAUGCUGACAUAAGUAACGAUAAAGCGGGUGAAAAGCCCGCUCGCCGGAAGACCAAGGGUUCCUGUCCAACGUUAAUCGGGGCAGGGUGAGUCGACCCCUAAGGCGAGGCCGAAAGGCGUAGUCGAUGGGAAACAGGUUAAUAUUCCUGUACUUGGUGUUACUGCGAAGGGGGGACGGAGAAGGCUAUGUUGGCCGGGCGACGGUUGUCCCGGUUUAAGCGUGUAGGCUGGUUUUCCAGGCAAAUCCGGAAAACUAAGGCUGAGGCGUGAUGACGAGGCACUACGGUGCUGAAGCAACAAAUGCCCAGCUUCCAGGAAAAGCCUCUAAGCAUCAGGUAACAUCAAAUCGUACCCCAAACCGACACAGGUGGUCAGGUAGAGAAUACCAAGGCGCUUGAGAGAACUCGGGUGAAGGAACUAGGCAAAAUGGUGCCGUAACUUCGGGAGAAGGCACGCUGAUAUGUAGGUGAAGUCCCUCGCGGAUGGAGCUGAAAUCAGUCGAAGAUACCAGCUGGCUGCAACUGUUUAUUAAAAACACAGCACUGUGCAAACACGAAAGUGGACGUAUACGGUGUGACGCCUGCCCGGUGCCGGAAUGUUAAUUGAUGGGGUCAGCGCAAGCGAAGCUCUUGAUCGAAGCCCCGGUAAACGGCGGCCGUAACUAUAACGGUCCUAAGGUAGCGAAAUUCCUUGUCGGGUAAGUUCCGACCUGCACGAAUGGCGUAAUGAUGGCCAGGCUGUCUCCACCCGAGACUCAGUGAAAUUGAACUCGCUGUGAAGAUGCAGUGUACCCGCGGCAAGACGGAAAGACCCCGUGAACCUUUACUAUAGCUUGACACUGAACAUUGAGCCUUGAUGUGUAGGAUAGGUGGGAGGCUUUGAAGUGUGGACGCCAGUCUGCAUGGAGCCGACCUUGAAAUACCACCCUUUAAUGUUUGAUGUUCUAACGUUGACCCGUAAUCCGGGUUGCGGACAGUGUCUGGUGGGUAGUUUGACUGGGGCGGUCUCCUCCUAAAGAGUAACGGAGGAGCACGAAGGUUGGCUAAUCCUGGUCGGACAUCAGGAGGUUAGUGCAAUGGCAUAAGCCAGCUUGACUGCGAGCGUGACGGCGCGAGCAGGUGCGAAAGCAGGUCAUAGUGAUCCGGUGGUUCUGAAUGGAAGGGCCAUCGCUCAACGGAUAAAAGGUACUCCGGGGAUAACAGGCUGAUACCGCCCAAGAGUUCAUAUCGACGGCGGUGUUUGGCACCUCGAUGUCGGCUCAUCACAUCCUGGGGCUGAAGUAGGUCCCAAGGGUAUGGCUGUUCGCCAUUUAAAGUGGUACGCGAGCUGGGUUUAGAACGUCGUGAGACAGUUCGGUCCCUAUCUGCCGUGGGCGCUGGAGAACUGAGGGGGGCUGCUCCUAGUACGAGAGGACCGGAGUGGACGCAUCACUGGUGUUCGGGUUGUCAUGCCAAUGGCACUGCCCGGUAGCUAAAUGCGGAAGAGAUAAGUGCUGAAAGCAUCUAAGCACGAAACUUGCCCCGAGAUGAGUUCUCCCUGACUCUUUAAGAGUCCUGAAGGAACGUUGAAGACGACGACGUUGAUAGGCCGGGUGUGUAAGCGCAGCGAUGCGUUGAGCUAACCGGUACUAAUGAACCGUGAGGCUUAACCUU